UUUAAAAUGAGAGUUUGAUCCUGGCUCAGGACGAACGCUGGCGGCGUGCCUAAUACAUGCAAGUCGAGCGAGCGGAACUAACAGAUUUACUUCGGUAAUGACGUUAGGAAAGCGAGCGGCGGAUGGGUGAGUAACACGUGGGGAACCUGCCCCAUAGUCUGGGAUACCACUUGGAAACAGGUGCUAAUACCGGAUAAGAAAGCAGAUCGCAUGAUCAGCUUUUAAAAGGCGGCGUAAGCUGUCGCUAUGGGAUGGCCCCGCGGUGCAUUAGCUAGUUGGUAAGGUAAAGGCUUACCAAGGCGAUGAUGCAUAGCCGAGUUGAGAGACUGAUCGGCCACAUUGGGACUGAGACACGGCCCAAACUCCUACGGGAGGCAGCAGUAGGGAAUCUUCCACAAUGGACGCAAGUCUGAUGGAGCAACGCCGCGUGAGUGAAGAAGGUUUUCGGAUCGUAAAGCUCUGUUGUUGGUGAAGAAGGAUAGAGGUAGUAACUGGCCUUUAUUUGACGGUAAUCAACCAGAAAGUCACGGCUAACUACGUGCCAGCAGCCGCGGUAAUACGUAGGUGGCAAGCGUUGUCCGGAUUUAUUGGGCGUAAAGCGAGCGCAGGCGGAAGAAUAAGUCUGAUGUGAAAGCCCUCGGCUUAACCGAGGAACUGCAUCGGAAACUGUUUUUCUUGAGUGCAGAAGAGGAGAGUGGAACUCCAUGUGUAGCGGUGGAAUGCGUAGAUAUAUGGAAGAACACCAGUGGCGAAGGCGGCUCUCUGGUCUGCAACUGACGCUGAGGCUCGAAAGCAUGGGUAGCGAACAGGAUUAGAUACCCUGGUAGUCCAUGCCGUAAACGAUGAGUGCUAAGUGUUGGGAGGUUUCCGCCUCUCAGUGCUGCAGCUAACGCAUUAAGCACUCCGCCUGGGGAGUACGACCGCAAGGUUGAAACUCAAAGGAAUUGACGGGGGCCCGCACAAGCGGUGGAGCAUGUGGUUUAAUUCGAAGCAACGCGAAGAACCUUACCAGGUCUUGACAUCUAGUGCCAUUUGUAGAGAUACAAAGUUCCCUUCGGGGACGCUAAGACAGGUGGUGCAUGGCUGUCGUCAGCUCGUGUCGUGAGAUGUUGGGUUAAGUCCCGCAACGAGCGCAACCCUUGUUAUUAGUUGCCAGCAUUAAGUUGGGCACUCUAAUGAGACUGCCGGUGACAAACCGGAGGAAGGUGGGGAUGACGUCAAGUCAUCAUGCCCCUUAUGACCUGGGCUACACACGUGCUACAAUGGGCAGUACAACGAGAAGCGAGCCUGCGAAGACAAGCGAAUCUCUGAAAGCUGUUCUCAGUUCGGACUGCAGUCUGCAACUCGACUGCACGAAGCUGGAAUCGCUAGUAAUCGCGGAUCAGCACGCCGCGGUGAAUACGUUCCCGGGCCUUGUACACACCGCCCGUCACACCAUGGGAGUCUGCAAUGCCCAAAGCCGGUGGCCUAACCUUCGGGAAGGAGCCGUCUAAGGCAGGGCAGAUGACUGGGGUGAAGUCGUAACAAGGUAGCCGUAGGAGAACCUGCGGCUGGAUCACCUCCUUUCUAAGGAA
rnacentral:rRNA from 1 species